rnacentral:rRNA from 1 species
GGUAACAGGAAGCAGCUUGCUGCUUCGCUGACGAGUGGCGGACGGGUGAGUAAUGUCUGGGAAACUGCCUGAUGGAGGGGGAUAACUACUGGAAACGGUGGCUAAUACCGCAUAACGUCGCAAGACCAAAGAGGGGGACCUUCGGGCCUCUUGCCAUCAGAUGUGCCCAGAUGGGAUUAGCUAGUUGGUGAGGUAACGGCUCACCAAGGCGACGAUCCCUAGCUGGUCUGAGAGGAUGACCAGCCACACUGGAACUGAGACACGGUCCAGACUCCUACGGGAGGCAGCAGUGGGGAAUAUUGCACAAUGGGCGCAAGCCUGAUGCAGCCAUGCCGCGUGUAUGAAGAAGGCCUUCGGGUUGUAAAGUACUUUCAGCGGGGAGGAAGGUGUUGUGGUUAAUAACCGCAGCAAUUGACGUUACCCGCAGAAGAAGCACCGGCUAACUCCGUGCCAGCAGCCGCGGUAAUACGGAGGGUGCAAGCGUUAAUCGGAAUUACUGGGCGUAAAGCGCACGCAGGCGGUCUGUCAAGUCGGAUGUGAAAUCCCCGGGCUCAACCUGGGAACUGCAUUCGAAACUGGCAGGCUUGAGUCUUGUAGAGGGGGGUAGAAUUCCAGGUGUAGCGGUGAAAUGCGUAGAGAUCUGGAGGAAUACCGGUGGCGAAGGCGGCCCCCUGGACAAAGACUGACGCUCAGGUGCGAAAGCGUGGGGAGCAAACAGGAUUAGAUACCCUGGUAGUCCACGCCGUAAACGAUGUCUACUUGGAGGUUGUGCCCUUGAGGCGUGGCUUCCGGAGCUAACGCGUUAAGUAGACCGCCUGGGGAGUACGGCCGCAAGGUUAAAACUCAAAUGAAUUGACGGGGGCCCGCACAAGCGGUGGAGCAUGUGGUUUAAUUCGAUGCAACGCGAAGAACCUUACCUGGUCUUGACAUCCACAGAAGAAUCCAGAGAUGGAUUUGUGCCUUCGGGAACUGUGAGACAGGUGCUGCAUGGCUGUCGUCAGCUCGUGUUGUGAAAUGUUGGGUUAAGUCCCGCAACGAGCGCAAC